rnacentral:rRNA from 1 species
CCCAGACUCCUACGGGAGGCAGCAGUGGGGAAUAUUGCACAAUGGGGGGAACCCUGAUGCAGCGACGCCGCGUGGGUGAAGGAGCGUUUCGGCGCGUAAAGCCCUAUCGGCAGGGAAGAAGGAGGACGGUACCUGACUAAGAAGCCCCGGCUAACUACGUGCCAGCAGCCGCGGUAAUACGUAGGGGGCAAGCGUUAUCCGGAUUUACUGGGUGUAAAGGGGGCGCAGACGGCAGCGCAAGCCAGGAGUGAAAGCCCGGGGCCCAACCCCGGGACUGCUCUUGGAACUGCGCGGCUGGAGUGCAGGAGGGGCAGGCGGAAUUCCUGGUGUAGCGGUGAAAUGCGUAGAUAUCAGGAGGAACACCGGUGGCGAAGGCGGCCUGCUGGACUGCGACUGACGUUGAGGCCCGAAAGCGUGGGGAGCAAACAGGAUUAGAUACCCUAGUAU